AUGUUGUCGAAAGCUCUGAAUCACGACGGAAAGAGCAGCUUUGAGCGAACAGAGUCGAAGCCGGUGUUGUGGUUGUUGACGUCAGAAAACUUUGAUGUUGGUAGAAGGCGAAGGGUGAUUCCGGAUGGUAGUGUGGCGGAGAUGGAGGCAGCAAUGCUUGAUGAAGAUAAUGGCGGACGAGCUGAAGGAGGUGAGUGGAUUCGAGAUAUUCAGUUUAUGUGA